rnacentral:rRNA from 1 species
AGCAGCCGCGGUAAUUCCAGCUCCAAUAGCGUAUAUUUAAGUUGUUGCAGUUAAAAAGCUCGUAGUUGAAUUUCGGGAUUGACACAUCGGUCGUGCCUUAAGGGGUGUGAACUGGUGUAGUCAAUUUCUCACCUUCUGGAGAACCGCGAUGUCCUUAAUUGGGUGCCGCGAGGAACCAGGACCUUUACUUUGAAAAAUUAGAGUGUUUAAAGCAGGCAUUUUUGCUUGAAUACAUUAGCAUGGAAUAAUAAAAUAGGACGGCAUGAUUCUAUUUUGUUGGUUUCUAGGAUCACCGUAAUGAUUAAUAGGGAUAGUUGGGGGGCAUUAGUAUUCAAUUGUCAGAGGUGAAAUUCUUGGAUUUAUUGAAGACUAACUACUGC